rnacentral:ncRNA from 7 species
UUGACCUCAAAUCAGGUAGGAGUACCCGCU